CCUACGGAGGCAGCAGUGGGGAAUUUUGGACAAUGGGCGAAAGCCUGAUCCAGCAAUGCCGCGUGCAGGAAGAAGGCCUUCGGGUUGUAAACUGCUUUUGUACGGAACGAAACGGUCUGCUUUAAUACAGUGGGCUAAUGACGGUACCGUAAGAAUAAGCACCGGCUAACUACGUGCCAGCAGCCGCGGUAAUACGUAGGGUGCGAGCGUUAAUCGGAAUUACUGGGCGUAAAGCGUGCGCAGGCGGUUAUAUAAGACAGUUGUGAAAUCCCCGGGCUCAACCUGGGAAUUGCAUCUGUGACUGUAUAGCUAGAGUACGGUAGAGGGGGAUGGAAUUCCGCGUGUAGCAGUGAAAUGCGUAGAUAUGCGGAGGAACACCGAUGGCGAAGGCAAUCCCCUGGACCUGUACUGACGCUCAUGCACGAAAGCGUGGGGAGCAAACAGGAUUAGAUACCCUGGUAGUCCACGCCCUAAACGAUGUCAACUGGUUGUUGGGUGCAUUAGUACUCAGUAACGAAGCUAACGCGUGAAGUUGACCGCCUGGGGAGUACGGCCGCGAAGGUUGAAACUCAAAGGAAUUGACGG
rnacentral:rRNA from 1 species